UCUCUUUAAACGGUGUAUUUUCCUUAAAACAUAGUUUUUUUCUUCGGAUUAAUAUAGAUGAGAUAAAAUGUGUUAAUCUGUAAAUUUGAGAGAUUGAUCAGAAGUGCUGCAGUUGGAGUUGUGUGUGGUGGUGGAGUCGUUGGGUAGCGAGCCCCGGCGCUGUGAGGCGGUGCGACAGAGCAGCAGCAGGCGGAGCUCCGGGGAGACGCUGCUGGAGAAGGCCGAGUAGAUCCAAGGGUUGGUGCACGAGUUUAGACUGGCCAGCAGCAUCAGCAGGUCUGGUCCGUCCCUCUCUACCUGGCAGACAGUGAUGACGAGGGCAGGGAGGAUGAAGACAGCCAGGGUCAUCCAGGUCACGUAGGCUCUGAGGCCCCACGACUCAGCAAAGUUACCCCAACACUCGUAGACACCUGGAGCCACUUCUGAACGGGAGAAGAUGAAAACCUGGAGGGGGGAAGAGGCUGAGCAGCAGUGACAGCCCCCAUGCCAGCAGUAUGAAGGUGUUCCAGCGUUGGGUGGCGCCGCUGCGGUGCGCGUGCAGGGGCCAGCAGAUGGCGUAGUGCCGGUCCAUCGUCAUGGCUACGAUCAUGUAGGAGGAGGCGAACAUCCCGAGGACCUGCAGGUAUUUCACCAGGCGACAAAGGAAGUCCGGGCCAGGGAAGCGGCCUUUAGCAUCCCACACCAGCUGGGGCAACACCUCAGAG